GACGAACGCUGGCGGCGUGCUUAACACAUGCAAGUCAAGGGGGCCCGCAAGGGCAACCGGCGAACGGGUGCGUAACACGUGAGCAAUCUGCCUCGAUGUGGGGGAUAGCCGGCCCAACGGCCGGGUAAUACCGCAUACGCUCACCGGGUGGCAUCGCCUGGUGAGGAAAGGUUUUUCGCAUCGAGAGGAGCUCGCGGCCUAUCAGCUAGUUGGUGGGGUAACGGCCUACCAAGGCGAUGACGGGUAGCUGGUCUGAGAGGAUGGCCAGCCACAUUGGGACUGAGAUACGGCCCAGACUCCUACGGGAGGCAGCAGUGGGGAAUAUUGCGCAAUGGCCGAAAGGCUGACGCAGCGACGCCGCGUGGGGGAUGAAGCAUUUCGGUGUGUAAACCCCUGUUGCUCGGGACGAACAAGCGGAUUUGUCCGCUCUGACGGUACCGGGUGAGGAAGCACCGGCUAACUCCGUGCCAGCAGCCGCGGUAA
rnacentral:rRNA from 1 species